rnacentral:rRNA from 1 species
UACGAAGGGGGCUAGCGUUGCUCGGAAUUACUGGGCGUAAAGCGCACGUAGGCGGAUUGUUAAGUCGGGGGUGAAAUCCUGGAGCUCAACUCCAGAACUGUCUUCGAUACUGGCGGUCUCGAGUCCGGGAGAGGUGAGUGGAACUGCGAGUGUAGAGGUGAAAUUCGUAGAUAUUCGCAAGAACACCAGUGGCGAAGGCGGCUCACUGGCCCGGUACUGACGCUGAGGUGCGAAAGCGUGGGGAGCAAACAGG